GGGGUCAUGGCUCAGUGGUAGAGCACUCUCCUAACAUGUGUGAGACACUGGGUUCGAUCCUCAAUACUACA
rnacentral:tRNA from 1 species